CGGCAGCUUCUGCGUGAGCGGCCAUGGACCGAGGGGGGGGGGCGCGAUAGAGUCGGCAGGAAUGAGUCUAGGGAGUGUGCUACUGAGUAGAAAAAGUGGACCCACAGAGACCCGUCAUUGGAACGACAUGUUGCUGAAACCGAAGCACCCUAUCGCGCAAUGGCACAGCCUGCGGAACUAAACCUUCUGUCGUCGAAAUGUAUCACUCCGCGUCGAUAACGAUGUGAUUACCGUAAGCCCUCCCAUCCCUAGAACGUAGCUACUACUUUUCAGUAAACACACUAGAGCAGGGGGCGCUAAUAUGCAGGCAGUCAUAUUUCAUCCAUAAGCUGAACAGCGAUAUUAACCUCUCGCGAACCAAGUCGGAUGAUUAAAAAUAUCGAGGGAAUUUUUAUUUGAACGAUUUGCGUGUAAAAUUUUUUUAGCGCUCCAAUGGCAGACUGCUUUAUUUGCAGACGAAUAUCCUUUAAACAAUGUUUCGGUCUAUGUUAGUUAUUUUUAUUUAAACAGCAAAUAUUCAAAUACAAUUCAAGAGUUUUCAGACUCAGAUGCGAGUGUCUGCAUUGUGUAUGCGGAGAUUCCAUUAAAAUCGGGCCGAAAUAAAACGAUACGACAUUGAAAAACGUACAAAAUUGAACGAGAACGCUGACAAUAGUUUGUCUAUUUAUGUUUUGGGGUCAUUCAUCAUCGUCGUCGUCGUCGUCGUCGUCGUCAUCAUCAUCAUAAUCAUCAUCAUCAUCACCAUUAUUAUUAUUAUCAUCAUCACUCUAUCUCUAACCUCAAUCCCUAAUUUCAAACCCUAACUGUAUCUCGAAUCAUAACCUAACCCUAACUAUAAUCCAACCCUAAUUCUAAGCCCAUCAUUGACCUAUCAUUUAGCCACCCAUCCGUCUCCUAAAUAAUGAUUUAGCCUUUAAUUUGUACAUGACUUUUAGGUUAGACUAACGAUUUUUAACUGAAAGGAAUCAUUUUGGUAAGUACCAUCUAAUGCAUUCUACACACAAAGGAUUACGACCACAAUGGAUAGACAUAGUAAUGUGGAUAUGAAAACAUAUUCGUGGCGUUUGGAACCUUACGGUUCUUGGAAUAGUUAUUCACGCCUGAUUAUAGGUGGAACCAUGAAUGUAUCGAACGCGUCAAUUAUGUGUUGUAAUUUAGUGGCAUUCAGCUCGUGGCAAUGGAAACAGAAACUAAUCACGUUUAUACUAUGGCCUACCAGAGAAAAGCGGAAUAUAUCUAGCGAGCCGACUGUUCUUCUCGCUCGUUGUCUUCAUGAGAUUUCCUCUUAAAGUGGGUAGACACUGUAUUAGAGUACAUGUAAAUGCGAUGGUCGUUAUCUGAUCAGCGCACACGCCCAAAGUAAGACUAUCGACUAUAAAGAUGUUGCCCAAUUUUAAGUACAAAAACUCUCUUAGCAUUUUACGCUAAAUGUAUAGUUUUUAUUCUAUGGCACAGUGACUGUUCAUUCCGUGUUUCCAAAGAGCCAUUCACGUAGUUUAGGGACACAUGAACGUUGUUUGAAUUCACAUAAAUGCUUUAUGGAGACAUGGGUCUAUUUGUUUAAAGCGGGAAACAGUAGCGAAUUGUUUUGCGAUGCACAUAAACACCUAGAGAAGACAGAACUUGUUGACUUUUAGAAUAUAUUCGAGGAAUUGUUGGAUAUAAAUUGACGCCCUAUGUAAUGUAUAUACGUCAUGUACAGAGAAAGCUUAAGGUUUAAGCUGUAUAAAUAUUGUCGUUGAUAAUAUAUAUAUAUAUCGCAUUCGCAUUAUGUUUGUCAUGCACGGUAAAUGAUAACUGUAUUGAACGGUUAUAAAUUAUAUAAUAUAUCUAAUAAAAUGAAUACUAUAUAUUCCAAAG